AGGCGGUCGGGCCGCUGGGGAGCGUCGAGGCCCUUGGCGCGGAUCUCCGGGCGAGCGCCCGCACCGGCCGGGACCGUGUCCUGGACGGCCUU
rnacentral:tRNA from 1 species